rnacentral:rRNA from 1 species
GUGAACGCUGGCGGCGUGCUUAACACAUGCAAGUCGAACGGUAACAGGAAGUAGCUUGCUACUUUGCUGACGAGUGGCGCACGGGUGAGUAAUCUAUAGUUAAUGUGCCUCGAAGACUGGGAUAGCCACUGGAAACGGUGAUUAAUACUAGAUACACCUUUUUAGCAUAAGCUAGAUCGGGAAACGUCUUUUCGCUUCGAGAUCAGACUAUAUCCUAUCAGUUAGUUGGUGAGGUAAUGGCUCACCAAGGCAAUGACGGGUAGCGGUUCUGAGAGGAUGAUCCGCCACACUGGUACUGAGACACGGACCAGACUCCUACGGGAGGCAGCAGUGAGGAAUAUUGCACAAUGGGGGGAACUCUGAUGCAGCAACGCCGCGUGGAGGAUGACGCAUUUCGGUGUGUAAACUCCUUUUAAGAGGGAAGAUAAUGACGGUAGCUUAUGAAUAAGCACCGGCUAACUCCGU